AGGGGUCUGUCAGCCGUGUUCCUCUUCGACAAUCUACUGUGAUGCUGAAAACCCAGGUCGGUUGAGGAAAGAAGUAUAAUUCUUUACACCAGAGUUAACUGUUCAGGCCUCUUCUGUCACAUAACUUUAACUGAGUGCAAGAAAGAUUUAUUGAGCUCUUACUUCCCUUGAGUAUUAGAGAUAAUGAGAUCAAUGACGCAUCCUAGGAGUUUACACUCUCCCAGUCUACUGGACCAUAGCCGACAGUGAUUUCCUGGAUCCAAAACAAAAUCUGUGUAUUUAUUUCUUUGAAAACAUCAUUUGUUGACCGUCCUUUCACUGCCAUGGAAUGACUUGCUUUCUCAAUCCAGUGGAUUUUAUUAGGAGCUUGCAUUUUCUGUGCCACUUUCUCCAACAAGUUCUAAAGGGAAAAAAGAAGAGGAUACUAGACUAAUGUUCUACUGGUGUUCAGUAAAGAUUUCCUCUCUCCCACCGCACCUAUACUGGCAUCCAUUCACUAAAUAUUAAAACCUAGUCUACAGCUAACUUUUGAGGCAAUGGAACGUGCAAGAAGUGGCAGUCCAUGUUUUUCAGAUACAGCAACACAACAGAACAGAUUAGGCAUUCAUUACUGAUGC